UGGUUCUCGCAUCGAUGAAGAACGCAGCGAAAUGCGAUAAGUAAUGUGAAUUGCAGAAUUCAGUGAAUCAUCGAAUCUUUGAACGCACCUUGCACCUCUUGGUAUUCCGAGAGGUACAUCUGUUUGAGUGUCAUGAAUCCCUCAACCUCUACUGUUUCUUGUAAAUCGUACGAGCGUUGGAUGCUGAGCGCUGCCGUGCUAUUCAGAACGGCUCGCUUCAAAUGCAUAAGCAAUCUUUGUACUACUCGGAUUGACUUGACGUGAUAAGAUCUUCGUCGAGGAUGGCUUACAGCCGGCCGAAUUGUAUACGAGUCGCUUCUAAUCCUGCCAUCCGGCAACUCUUUAAAUUUAGACCUCAAAUCAGAUGGGACUACCCGCUGA
rnacentral:misc_RNA from 1 species